GGCUUGUUAGCUUAAUGUAUAGAGCGCCGUGUCAACAACGCGGAGGAUGAGAGUUCAAAUCUCUCACAAGCCA
rnacentral:tRNA from 1 species